GACGAACGCUGGCGGCGUGCUUAACACAUGCAAGUCGAACGAUGAAGCAGAGAAACGCGCCCUUCGGUUCAAAUUUCACUUCGGAUUAGUGGCAGACGGGUGAGUAACGCGUGGGCAACCUACCUCUUACAAAGGGAUAGCCUCGGGAAACCGUGAUUAAUACCAUAUGACACAUUCAUAAGGCAUCUUAAGAAUGUUAAAGCUACGGCGGUAAGAGAUGGGCUCGCGUCCCAUUAGCUAGUUGGUGAGGUAACGGCCCACCAAGGCGACGAUGGGUAACCGGCCUGAGAGGGUGAACGGUCACAUUGGAACUGAGACACGGUCCAAACUCCUACGGGAGGCAGCAGUGGGGAAUAUUGCACAAUGGAGGGAACUCUGAUGCAGCGACGCCGCGUGAGCGAUGAAGGAAUUCGUUUCGUAAAGCUCUGUUCUAUGGGAAGAAAAGGACUGUACCAUAGGAGAAAGCCCCGGCUAAAUACGUGC
rnacentral:rRNA from 1 species